CAGCAGCCACGGUAAUACGAAGGGGGCUAGCGUUGUUCGGAAUUACUGGGCGUAAAGGGCGCGUAGGCGGGUUUUUAAGUCAGAGGUGAAAUCCCAAGGCUCAACCUUGGAACUGCCUUUGAUACUGGAAGUCUUGAGUCCGGGAGAGGUGAGUGGAACUGCGAGUGUAGAGGUGAAAUUCGUAGAUAUUCGCAAGAACACCAGUGGCGAAGGCGACUCUCUGGUCUGUAACUGACGCUGAGGAGCGAAAGCGUGGGGAGCGAACAGGAUUAGAUACCCCCGUAGUCCCUGUCUCUUAUAC
rnacentral:rRNA from 1 species